GAUGAACGCUGGCGGCGUGCCUAAUACAUGCAAGUCGAGCGAACAGACGAGGAGCUUGCUCCUCUGACGUUAGCGGCGCACGGGUGAGUAACACGUGGAUAACCUCCCUAUAAGACUGGGAUAAUUUCGGGACACCGGAGCUAAUACCGGAUAAUAUAUUGAACCGCAUGGUUCAAUAGUGAAAGACGGUUUUGCUGUCACUUAUAGAUGGAUCCGCGCCGCAUUAGCUAGUUGGUAAGGUAACGGCUUAUCAAGGCAACGAUGCGUAGCCGACCGGAGAGGGUGAUCGGCCACACGGGAGCUGAGACAGGGUCCAGACUCCUACGGGAGGCAGCAGUAGGGAAUCUUCCGCAAUGGGCGAAAGCUUGACGGAGCGACGGCGCGUGAGUGAUGAAGGUCUUCGGAUCGUAAAACUCUGUUAUUAGUGAAGAACAAAUGUGUAAGUAACUAUGCACGUCGUGACGGUACCUAAUCAGAAAGCCACGGCUAACUACGUG
rnacentral:rRNA from 1 species